GGGGUGAUAGUUAAGUAGGUAUAACUAUAAUUUUGCACAUUAUGAUCCCAGGUUCGACUCCUGGUUACUCCA
rfam:Triticum urartu cultivar G1812 contig1443713, whole genome shotgun sequence.